CCAGACUCCUACGGGAGGCAGCAGUGGGGAAUAUUGCACAAUGGGGGAAACCCUGAUGCAGCGACGCCGCGUGAAGGAAGAAGUAUUUCGGUAUGUAAACUUCUAUCAGCAGGGAAGAAAAUGACGGUACCUGACUAAGAAGCCCCGGCUGACUACGUGCCAGCAGCCGCGGUAAUACGUAGGGGGCAAGCGUUAUCCGGAUUUACUGGGUGUAAAGGGGGCGCAGACGGCAAUGCAAGCCAGGAGUGAAAGCCCGGGGCCCAACCCCGGGACUGCUCUUGGAACUGCAUGGCUGGAGUACAGGAGGGGCAGGCGGAAUUCCUAGUGUAGCGGUGAAAUGCGUAGAUAUUAGGAGGAACACCGGUGGCGAAGGCGGCCUGCUGGACUGUGACUGACGUUGAGGCCCGAAGGCGUGGGGAGCAAACAGGAUUAGAUACCCGGGUAU
rnacentral:rRNA from 1 species